UUUUUCCUCCUUUUUUCCCCCUGAACACUUAAUUUUUAGGCAGCAGAAAAGUCCGGAUCCUGACUGCAAUGUUCCUGUAAUUGAAGAAGAUUGUUUGGAGAUGGCCCAAGAACCCUCCCCAGAUUGAUGAGCAGCAACAGUUGCUUCUCUGAAGUCAUGGCUGAUGUCCUUUCUACUUGGCAUGAUGUAGUCAUACACCUCAGUGCUACAGAACACCAAACUGCCAAAAGUUAUGCUUUUAUAGAGGAGUAGUGGCUACUGCUGAGGACCCAUCAGCAAUCACAUCUAUUCAGUCAGCUGCCACGUUUUCCUCCGAGCAGCCCAUAAAGUACUUG